rnacentral:rRNA from 1 species
AUUGAACGCUGGCGGCAUGCCUUACACAUGCAAGUCGACCGGUAACGCGGGGCAACCUGGCGACGAGUGGCGAACGGGUGAGUAAUGUAUCGGAACGUGCCCAGUUGUGGGGGAUAACUGCUCGAAAGAGCAGCUAAUACCGCAUACGACCUGAGGGUGAAAGCGGGGGAUCGCAAGACCUCGCGCAAUUGGAGCUGCCGAUGUCAGAUUAGGUAGUUGGUGGGGUAAAGGCUCACCAAGCCAACGAUCUGUAGCUGGUCUGAGAGGACGACCAGCCACACUGGGACUGAGACACGGCCCAGACUCCUACGGGAGGCAGCAGUGGGGAAUCGUGGACAAUGGACGCAAGUCUGAUCCAGCCAUGCCGCGUGCGGGAAGAAGGCCUUCGGGUUGUAAACCGCUUUUGUCAGGGAAGAAACGCUCUGGGUUAAUACCUCGGGGUAAUGACGGUACCUGAAGAAUAAGCACCGGCUAACUACGUGCCAGCAGCCGCGGUAAGAC